UUUUUCAACUUCCUGACUUGUCGCAGCAAAGCCUCUCUCUCCUUCAUCAGGCUGUCUUUGAAUCUGUAGACAUUAACACUGCCGUCAUCCCUGAAGGAGCAAACUACAAACUUUCCAGGAUCACCUUUCAAGCCUACAGGAGGGAUUUAAAGUCAGCAGAUUCAGGCAUGCAGCAGCUCGGAGGACGACUGCGUUUUUGCUGACUUACAAUUGCAGGUCCAAACUGUGUUUUUAUUCAAUCUUGAGACAACAGUUUGAGAUGAAGAUUUUGUCUGUGGGUUUGCAGAGCAGCUGGUGACAACUUCACUUGGCUUCACUCUGCUGGAGAUGAAACUCCUUCCUGCAGAGGAGAUGACUGCUGCUGUGGGCCUACCUGCCCAGCUCCGCCUGGAGGCUCUCUGUCAGUGC